CUGAGCUCAAUGCAUUCGAGCUGUUUCUCGUUUAGUCACCAAAGUUGUUAGCCCAGGACAUGUUCCUAAAUAUUUUAGUUUAUGUCAUAUUUUAGGUGAAUUGGGAAUUUAUCUACAAAAGUGGCAAAACAUGCACUAUUUCAAAAGGCACGCAUUUGUUUCUACGAAUCACUAUACAAAGGUUUUUUUAGAACCGCUUCUAGCAUAUAAGUCAAUAAGCGAUGGAUGUACGUAAAUCAGUAACUAAAACAAGUGCCUUACCCACGCACCAAAACCCAGGCAUGAACCAUAUUCUAGAUGCUAUGGACUCAUAUAACUCUAGACCAUCUUCAUUUGUUUUUGCUAUGCUACACUGGAAAUGUUUGCAUAUAUGCUCGAAAAAAAUUGUGGCAUAUGGUUUUUUACCUACAAAAUAUGAGAGUAUUCCAAAGUUGGUCAUAUUGAUCGAUUCUCGAUUUUGUCAAAAACUGCUAUUUGCAGAGCACCUGAUGUAUACGUGUGUAUGACUUCAAGUGCUAUUAAAUGUAAUCCAACCUACACGCACUAAUUAAGCAGAAACAUUAUGCCUAAACGCACUAAUUAAGCACAAACAAAAUUUAAGCAAGUUCCGGUAAAUUUAUCGAGUCAUGGGAAAUUAUGACAUCUUAACUAACAUUCUUGGCAUACCAUCGCGUAUGCAUCGCAUCAAUGCUAUCAAUUUUAGUUUAAAAUAUGCUAUAAUGUAGACGAGCGUUAAUUUUAUGAUUUGGUUUAUUCAAUAAAUAUUUUUGGAAUAAAUUGAUAACUGAUUAAAUUUUAGGACUCAGUCUAGCUUCAACCUAUAAUAUUUGCUUUAGUGUUAUGAACUAUUUGCGUUAUAACAUUUGAUGGUAUUCUGGCAUGCCGAUGAGCACGACUUUAAAUUAAUUCUGCCUAAGACCACUAGUAUACAUUGAGUGAACAACGCAACGUCACGUUCGGAGUUUAGAGGUGAAUUUAUUUUGGUUUCGCAUACGUGGCAGAACGAGCUCCCAGCUUUAAUGGCUAAUAAACAUGGAGGAAUCUUUUGUGCUGGCUAUUCUGUAUGAAAGCGACAUUUCCAUGUAAAACAAAUAACGGUAAUGGUUGCGAUGAAAAUUUUGUUAAACUCCGCGUUGUAUUUUUGGGUUAUCAAAAUUAAUGGUCACUUUUUUUCGCCGUCUAAAUAUCGUUUUUGUAAUUGAGUAUUUGUCCUGGGGCGAGGGGUUUCUAUAAUAUUGCAUAUUAACCUCAAGAGAUGAAUUAAUUGCAAAUUUUCUCUUUUUCGUAUCCCGACUUUUAAAAAUGCUGACAAAAGUUUUGUCAUACACUGCAUGAAAACGUUAACAAUGAAACAGUGUGAUAAACAAAUUGAAAUUCGGUUCUUGGCCACUUAUUUCAGGAGAUAAAAUAAAACUUAAUUUCUAAACUUAUUCGAUGUGUUCUCAAAAAUGUUAAAAUUUAGAAUCAUUCGUGAUGAUGCUAAAAUCUUCUUAAAAAAAUGAUAUGUAUUGAAAGCUAAUGACUUUAAGUCUCAUCUGAUUGAUCUAUGCACGUACACUCAUAUAUAAUUCCAAAAAUAAAUAUGUAAAUAAUUUGGACAAACAAGCCGAGAUGAGUUAAGACACAAAAUCAAAUCCGCUAUUACCGCCUUUUUUGUUGGCUUAUUUUUUACUCGUUAAUGCCGUACGUGCUAUUUUGAGACUCUUGUGUGGUCUGACUUGAGCAAGAAUAACACAGUAAAUUAUACAACGCUAAUUGGAUUAAAUUUCCAAGAAAUACAAUCGAUCCCUAAAGGCAAAAAACGUUCAUUCCCAGACAACCCAAAAACACGUUAUCUAUUUUCCCGAGUGAUUUAUAUUUAUGUUCAUUGGGUUGACUAAGCUCUAUUAUAAUUAUGCUUCCAAGUUAAUUAACAAAGUUAGUGUUGUAGUUUAUAUGACUUAACAAUAAUAAUGCUUGAUGCACAAAAGCAGAUAUCGCUUGAAAUGCCAAGUCAGUUUUUGUUAAGCCUGUUAUCUUCUACUUGAUGGUUGUAUGUACACAAGGAAAAAAUAGAGCAAUAACUAGCAAUUCAGUUCUAUCACCAUAGGGGAACAAAAAGCUAAUUUUAUUUUAAUUGGAAUUUUACCAUUAGCUAAUAUUUAUUUAUUUAUUAUUUAUCACUAACAAGAACAUACAAUUCUAUGAAAAAAACAUAAAAUGAUAUAAAUAAUAUAGCUCCAAAGUUAGAAGUUACAAUACGCAUGUUUAAUUGAUUUGAUAUUUUUAACUUCGCGGUUGCGUAUCCUACUUUUCUCACCGUUACAGAAUAGACCGAAAAUGGUCUCUUUUGAUUGUCUGGUAAUGUACCAACGACGGAACUAUUACUUAAGUUAUUAUUAUUAAGUUAUUUACUUAUUUAUUUUGUAUUACUAGCAAAUACUUAUUACUCUUUGGCAUUGGUGCCUUUACCUAUUGAAAAAAAUGCAUAUUCGAUCAUUGUACUGCCGCUUGUCCUUGCCUAGUUGGUAUUUGCCUAACCAAAACAGCCUUUCAUGCUAUGUUAACAACGAUUUUGUGAUUGAAGAGUGGAAAUAACAAAGGGGGCAAGUGCCAAAGUGUAAGUCUCAAGAUAAUUGGCAAAUGUGCAAGCAAAGGUCAGGCACUUGGCGGUGCUAUAUUUUCUUUGGCAGACAGGUAUAAAGCUUAGCAUGAACAUUGGCAUACAGCGCUCUCAUUAAGGCAUAAUUACAACCACUUGCCCCCUUUGUUACUUCUACUUGUCGAUUAUAAAAAGUUUAUCAAUUUUUCAUGCCAUGGCAUCGUGUUAAUUUUGAAAAUGUUCUUCAAAUAUCUACAUUCUUUCCAUGUCCACUUUUAAAAUAUGGUCGAAGGCCUGGAGUUACCAAAAGACACCAAAUACAUAUAUUAUUAUUAGGCCUAGAUAGCUUUGUCAAUCUGCAAAUAUGUUAAUUGUUAUAGGAAAUUGACAAAAUAUGAUAUAAAGCAAUAAAUAAGAACGCCCGG